UUCGGCCUGGAUCCGGGCUUGGAGGGUAAAAAUAAAGUGUUUCCCUCUGCAGCCAAUCCCAGGGAAGGCAGGAGGGCGCUUCUCCAGUGAGAGCCUGGAGCCGUCCGUAGCGGUGGCGGCCUGCGACCCCACUCGCGCUCCGGCAGACGGGAGGGACGCGUCCAGUGCAUUUCGCGACAUCCAGCUGUCAGCGCUUGGAAUCUGCUUGCGCGCGGCAGCGGCGGCGCCGACGGCCGAAGGUGCCCGGUCAGCGGGUUGCGGAGGAUCGUGCGGGUAGCAAAGGGAGGGCGAGUGCUCCAGGGGCCCCAGAAGACAACCAGUUGGCUGGGAUGGAGAUGGCAGUAUGGUGACCAUGUUUUGAAGAUGGCAGACCGUCUAGACAGAAGACUCAGCAGCUAUUCUGAGGGAUAUGGCAACCUUUGGGAGGAUGUAGCAGCAAGAUGGUGUCUCCACAGUAGAAAAUGACUUUGAGGUGAAAAGUUAAGGAGAACCUGGCAGAACUCGCUUUCAGAACCCAGAGCUCCCUGGCCUAGUGCUCCCAUCGGCACUGCAGCUGCUCCACCGACAGGUGAUAGAGACACUGUUCUACCCUUCGGAAGAGAAAUGCACUUCAGAAACAUGUUUCCAAAAAAUGUUGCUAAGGGUUUUAUUUCUAACAAGAGGAAAAUAA